rnacentral:lncRNA from 1 species
UCUCUCCCUAGUGGUUCAUAAUAUGGACCCAAAAUUCUCCUCUUCCUCUCCUACAAAUAUGUUCAAGUGUUAAACAUGAUUAAAAUCAGAUUUGAUCUGAUUUUUGCCUAUUCCUCUUAGUUCAUGAGAUGGACAAAAAUUCUUCUCUCUCUUUUUUAGAUCUAGUCCAAGGGUUAGACAAGAAAGGAUGAAGAAAGAGAUUUGAUCUC